CCUUACCUUUUGCAACUACAGUCUACUGGAAAAUUCAUCUUCCCAUAAUGUCCACCACAGUGAAUUUAGCAACAUAAACAGCUUCAGAGCUGUGCCAGGUAGGGCAUUAGGCUCCAGAAUGGAAGAACUCAGAGGACAGGACCCUGCCUCCACCGUGAAGGGGUUCAGUGUAGGUACAGACAGCUGCUGGCAUCUUGAAGUAAGCCAGGAUGACAAGUCUCUCUGGAAGGAGCUAGCUGACAUGUGUGAGCAGCCCUCUGGAGUUUCACACGAGGAACAGAAGCCUCUUCACAAGUCAUAUGAAUGGGCUUGAGUGCAGAGUCUCCAGCCCCUCAGAUGAUCUCAGCCUGAGACAGCAACUUGACUGCAGCCUCCACCACAGAAGAGGCAUCGAACAACAAAUGGACAAAAAUGUUUCAGCUGGUUGAUAUCAGCCACCUAGGCCUGGCAUGAUGGGCAGGUGAACUGAAUAGCCUUGGUGGCAGAGAUGGAGGUUACACAGGGCACAGCAGCCUGGACUGCAGCUUACCAAGGCCAGUCUAACCACCACAGCCCCUGCAUAUCCUGUCCACAUGCAGCAGGGCCCAACACUAAGCCCAUGAGCAGGCAUCAUUCUGACCCAGUGGGACUGGGCCAGGGAUGGAGACUGUGGUGCAUUUCUAACAAGGUCUCGAGUGGUGCCAAUGAUGCUGGCCCCCCAGACUACAGUUUGAGGAGUAAGGCCUUAAAGAGCAGUAGAAGUUACUUCUUCUGGAGUCACAGGCUGGAAAAUUGAGAGAGGAAAAGCUCCUUCCUUGGACUGUAAAAAAGCAUCAUAAAGAUUUCUAGCAGGAAACACUUUCUCCUUUGAGCAGAGGCAGCUGCAGGGGUCAGCUGGUCCUUGAGAGCUGGCACCCACAGACAGUGAGGACUUUAAAGACAUAUUCCCCGAGGAUGAAAGGGUUACUCUUUGCAAAGCACCUGAUAGGUAUGGCCUGGAGCUGUUCUCCAUCACCAUGGCAAGUGCUUCAGGGAAACACAGGUGUCUGCAGUCAUUAGAAAUUCAAAUCCACCUGCCCGGCCUCAUGCACAAAGGAGAGCAACUCGGGGUCAGCUUGUGUUUGGUGAGUGGGGGGCAGCUGUCUGGCCAUGAGCCCAGAGGGGCCCAUAAAUCAUGUGGGCUUCCAGAGGCAGGGAGCUCUAAUGGGAGUCAGGUGAGAGGCCCACCUGCAGCUAGGCGGCUGGUUGCUAUUAAACAGUGGCCCCAGGAGGUCUCGAAAGUGGGCGUAUUUGGUUCCUUCCACCCUGGAAGCAAUUUACUGGUCAUGUCUGGUCUUUCUCUUGGUGUGUCUCUCUGUAUGUCUCCUUCUGUCUGUGCAUGUGUUUGUUUCUCAUUUUCUUUCCCAGAUUUGUCUCUCUCCCCCUUUUCCCUCUCUCUAUCUCUCUACCCUUUUCUUUUUCUUUGUCCCCAGCCCCCUUCUCCUUCCUUAUUUGCAGGGAAGCAAAGCCCAGACAGGAUCGUCAUGUAAACAAGGGGAUUUUUAAGCAUGUGACUGAUCCAUAUCAGACUACUUGAAACCAGGGAUCCUGCCUGGAGGGAGCACAGGAGAUGGGGGGGAGACAGGGGAAGAUGGGGGAGACAGAGGGGUCCCCCAGUAAAGUUGGGAAGUGGCCCAUUGGAUCAUGGUUUUCCAUUCCCACUCCAUCCCCAUCUUAGCAUCUGUUCAGUGUUUUUGGCCUGCUGGGAGCUCCCCAUUCAGCAUCACCCAGGCCCAGCAUUGCUCAUAGCUGCGCCAUCUCUGCUAUUGCUGUAGACUUGGGUUCUCUUCCCCAGCCCCUCUCCCAUGAUUACUUGUAGAGUAAUUGUCUCUCUUGUCUGGGAUAAUUUCUCUACUAAAAACAACUUUUCUAAGUGCCUGAAUUCAGCCCAAAGGAAUGACCUUGGUAAGUUCACUGCUGAGUUCAGGGUGUGCCAUCAGGAGAGGCAUCUCAAAGAAGCCAGCUUUCUUCUGUCCCUCGGGUCACACCACACCAAAU